rnacentral:rRNA from 1 species
CAAUAGCGUAUAUUAAAGUUGUUGCAGUUAAAAAGCUCGUAGUUGGACUUCUGGCUUGGUGAGGUGGUCCGCCGCAAGGUGUGCACUGUUUUGUCGAGCCUUCUUCUCGUAGUUGGUGGGUGCACUUAACUGGGCGCCUAUUGAAUAUGGGACCUUUACUUUGAAAAAAUUAGAGUGUUCAAAGCAGGCCUUCGCUUGAAUACAUUAGCAUGGAAUAAUAGAAUAGGACUUUGGUUCUAUUUUGUUGGUUUCUAGGACCGAAGUAAUGAUUAAUAGGGACAGUUGGGGGCAUUAGUAUUUAAUUGUCAGGAGGUAGAAUUCUUGGUAUUUAUAGAAAGAACUAACUACUGACG